rnacentral:pre_miRNA from 1 species
AUUAUGACUGUGUCUAGGCGGCUUUAUUGUUUGUUUUGAGCAGCGAACAAUAAAGCCGCCUAGACACAGUCAUAGU